CACGGUAGGAUCCAAGCGUUUAUCCGGAUUUGACUAGGGGCGUAAAGGGUGUGCAGGGCUGGUCUGUUAAGUUGGGUGUUAAAAUCUCUUGGCUUAACUGGGAGGUGUCGCUCAAAACUGAACAGAACUGGAGGACGGUGAGAGGAAGGUGGAAUUCCGGGUGUAGUGGUGAAAUGCGUAGAUAUCUGGAGGAAUACCGGUGGCGAAGGCGGCAUCC
rnacentral:rRNA from 1 species